rnacentral:lncRNA from 1 species
CGUUGUGGGUAACGCGGACGUGGAAGAACCUCGUCUGCGGAGGAAAAGUCCCAGGUGCCGAGUCAAUCCCCAUACACAGCCGCCGCCAUUGCCUCGAGUCCUUGUGUCUGACUGUCUGUUCCUGCUGCUGUAUGACACAGCACCUCGAGGCAAGGAAAUAAGAAAACUGCCUCUGAUCCAAGCAGAGAAGGUCUGCCUGUAGAUCUGCUGUAGGGCUUGUCACCAUUGGAAGCAAGGUCCUACUUCAGUGGCAGAUCUGGUGGCCUUGGAGUGGCUGAAGACCACCACCCUCCACAGGGCUGGGCCCAUGCACAGCCAUCCUUCCCUACCUUGAAACUCCUGUAGCCUGUAAUACCAGCUGUGGGUACUACUCUCAGUGUUGGAGAUCAUCAAAAUACAAUUGGACCAGACCCUUUGGAAAUAAUUCUGUGUCUCAAAUGCCCUGUGGAGCACACACUUAAUCAGUUGAUGGCUAUGGAAUUUUCCAACAUCAGCUAAAGAGAAGGGUGAGUGUGGGAUAGAGUGGUGACUUCCAAGCUUCAUGCAGAACCGGACAACAGAAAUUGAGAGGGAAAUUUCUAUGACAGAAGAGAGAAAGAAGAAAAUUGCUGGAAUAAUGACCUUGAAUAGAGGAAAUGGGAUAUCAUCUGGUAAG